AAGGUGGUUAAAAGGCUGACAGUUACAUCUAACUUAAAGCAAGGGUCCCUUGAUAACCCUCAUAGAAUUCUCAACUAAUUGGUUGCCAAGCGGGUCUCACAACAGAGUUAAAAGGAAAAUUUCUUAGACUAAUAAGUUUAGUAGAGUUUAUUUGUGCAAGGUAAAACAAAAGCUGAUUUCCAAAUCCAGCAGACCCAGAACCAGAGCAGGUUCUGAGAAGGCCAACAAACAAGGUGAUGUCAGCACUGAUAGAAAAGCUGGAGGGAGGCACAUAAAAACAGUUUAAUCUGCUGUAGCAGAUUCAUUAAGUCAAUGGUUACAGCUUCAUUAGUUAACUGGGUAUAGGAUCUCCUGCAACCAACCAUGCCUCAUGGGAGAGAUUAAAUUCUUUCCUGAUUUGGCCUGUCUGCCACCUGGUUAUCCCAAGUCUGUGGCCUUCCACAAGGUUUAGUUAACAAGAGAAACCCUGUAAUAAACUGCAGUUCCACAAGACACAAAGGAAAGGUGUCUGGAGCCUAAAUUCCCUGUCUUCAGCAUUUAGUGCUACAAAGGCAAACAAGAUGACCCAACACUGUUCCACAGAGAUCAUCCUUCCUAAAUGACAUCAUUUAUUUCAAGGCAGAGCUAAAUACUGUUUCUACGAGUCUGGUAGAAAGGGAAGGGAAAGA